rnacentral:tRNA from 2 species
AGCUCAGUAGCUUACUUGUUAAAGCACUCGUCUAGCACAUAAGAGUCAUGCGUUCGAGUCCCAUCUGAGCGA